UGGCCCACCCACAGCUGUGUUCUCGGUAGUUACACUAGAGGAAGCAAAGCAAUCAGUGGUAUGGUCUGGAAGGCAGUGACCGAAAACUGAAAAUUUUUGGCCCACACCUGACCAAAAUCUGCCCUAAAUCAACCAGAUUCUGAUCUUAUCUCUGACGAUGGGGCGAGACUUUCCGAGAUUAAAAUGGUCCAGUUCUUUUUACCUCCGGUCACGACUCAUGCUUCUGCCUAAAACAGCACCUUUCAUGUCAGGAAGAGCCCUUUGCAACUCAGAUGCUGCCAGCUCUUAAAGUGAAAGAACCAAGACAACGGUUCUGGGAAGACUGCUUGACUAAUGAAUCUUCAUCCAUCAACUGUCAGGAAACUGAUCUCCCAUCUACCAGACUGAAGUAUAACUGCAUUCAGAGUUUAUUCAGCCGGCGUAAUUAUCCUCGUCCUUCUCUGAUUACAUUGGAGGAUAGCUGUAAUUCCUUCAGAAUCAGCGAAUACAAUGGCUAAUCCUAUAAUUGCUAGCAAAGAAAUUCACACCUCCAUGUUAGAAAUAUGUGGUAUUAACAAUAUCAAACAGUCACUGUCAGUUCAACACCAGAAGACCUUUCUAGAAAAAUAACUGCUUUGUCAUGGUUCUGUAAGAAGGUAAUUGCCUUAAUGGUAUGGAAUAACAAAACUACCGCACAGAGAGAUACACUGGAAAUAUAUUUCUCAGUACUAAUGUUGUGUAGUAGAUACUAUACACUGUAUAUGGGAAAAUUGCAUUUUAUUUGCUGCAGAGAACCACAGUGGAAAAGUCCAUGCAAUACCACUUGUGGACUUAAGGUGGCCAUACAUGGAGAGAUCCACUCGUUUGGCGAUGUCGCCAAACGAGUGGAUCUCUACCGAU